GGGGGGGGGGGGGGGGGCUGGGGUUUUUCCCAGGGGUGUUGAAUUGUUUUAAAAAAUCUGAUUUAUUUUACCUUUAUGAUCAUGUGACACAACCUGCUGGAUGCAAAGAGCAGUGACAACCAGGGGUCACCUCUCACCUUUCACCACUCCUGGAGGUCACCUGGGUUUCACCCCCUUUCCUCUGAAAAGUGGGAACACAUUCACUCCCUCUGAUGGAUUUAAAAAAAAAUACAAAAAAAAGAAAGGAGGAAAAAAAUAAAAAGGUGGCCAUAAGAGAUGAGUGGAACUUCUAAGCAUGAUCAUGCCAAUACAAUUCCCUCUAUAUUCCCAAGGGAUUGUGAAGGGGUGUUCAGGUGGAGAGCAGGACAGGGGACUUGAUGGAUGCUGAAGUGGAUGGUUGGGCGCUGGCUUUUGCACUCCGAAGCAAGGAGCCAUUCAGAAGGGUGACACGACAAGUUCACAGAAGUACUGUAUAGGUUGUAUGACUUUCUUACAUGAGAUUGUGUGAAUUUCUCUUCUAUGCAUUACUUGUACAAAAUGAUUGGACGUGGCACCCUAUUGAAUACAUCCUCUUGUUGAAAGGUUUGGAAUUCUCUCAGGAUGACAGACAGCUGGAGAGGCCCAAUGACUGAAUGUGUUUGGCCGUCAUUGGUCGCCCUUUAUCCAGUCAGAUUGAUGUUUGGGAAUUAUAAGUGGGGUUAUAUGUGGUAAUAGAAGUUGCCUCCAAGCACAGAUCUAGGAACAGUUGAUGUGUCACAGCUUGACCCGAACUACUAAGGUGAUUAUUUGAUAUUGCGUCCUGGAUCAGUUUUAAUGGUGGUAUUUUCCACCGAUUCCUUGUGGUGAGAUAGGAGUGGCCCCUGCCAUGGCUCUGAUCCAGGAUCAGUAUAAGCUUUGCCAAACCUGGAAGGUGAGGUGACAAAUUGAUCUGGCUGUUGAUCAGUACUUGGGGUGGGGGUGGGGGGGGGGUGCCUUGCUGGGAGUUUCAAUGCUAGAAUCAUGUUCCAUUUCCUCUGUUUUUAGUGAAAUUAUUGAGACAGAAAACAUAUUUGGUGAAUGUGGUGCUUAGACCCCUUGACCUUUAAACAGACAGACAACACACCAGCACACGCGCGAACAACCCCAUCUGUUUCCCCAGUUCACAGUCACAGCUCUAUCACCCCCAACAACACACUCCAGUAAUACUUUUUCUUUCUCUCGCUCACACACACACACACACACACACACACACACACACACACACACACACAAUCACCAUCACCAUCUUAGUAUGUUUUAUGCCCCUCUCGUGUUCAUUGUCUAAAAUUUUGCAAUAUUUGUGUGUACAGCAGUAUUUUAAUAAAGAAUACCAAAACAUAGUGUUUCUCUCAUGCUUGAACAUAUGAAGUGUGUAUAACUCUUUAUUUUAAUAUUUUAAUACAUACUUCUGUCAGUCAGUCCAAAGGACUCCAGCUGUCAAUCCUAAACGGUUGUCUUUCCCCUCCACACCCGGUAAUAGUUCUACACCCUGUGUUGUCACGACGACCAUUGACAGACACUGCAUUAGGGUUUAGCUGUUAUCUUUGAGGUUGAAUACAUUAAUAAAUGGGUAAAACAAGAAUACAUAUAUAUUUUUUUUUUAUGAAUACAUUCUUCCAGCAUACACAUGACUGUCAGUUGAUGUGAGACAACGGCAAAGAGGUUCCUCUUCUACUGAGCUCAGAGUAACCAUGUAGACGUUGCCGAUAAGCAGUAAUGGUAAAUGUAAUAUUAAUGGCAGUCAGUGGACACUGGUGCAGGUGAUAACGUCUUUAGC
ensembl:lncRNA